UACAGAGGGGGCAAGCGUUGUUCGGAAUUACUGGGCGUAAAGAGCUCGUAGGCGGCCAACUAAGUCGGACGUGAAAUCCCCAGGCUCAACCUGGGAACUGCGUCCGAUACUGGAUGGCUUGAAUCCGGGAGAGGGAUGCAGAAUUCCAGGUGUAGCGGUGAAAUGCGUAGAUAUCUGGAGGAAUACCGGUGGCGAAGGCGGCAUCCUGGACCGGCAUUGACGCUGAGGAGCGAAAGCCAGGGGAGCAAACGGG
rnacentral:rRNA from 1 species